rnacentral:rRNA from 1 species
UGCCAGCCGCCGCGGUAAUACGUAGGGACCAAGCGUUGUUCGGAUUUACUGGGCGUAAAGGGCGCGUAGGCGGCAAUUCAAGUCAGCUGUGAAAUCUCCGGGCUUAACUCGGAACGGUCAGCUGAUACUGCUUUGCUAGAGUGCAGAAGGGGCAAUCGGAAUUCUUGGUGUAGCGGUGAAAUGCGUAGAUAUCAAGAGGAACGCCUGAGGUGAAGACUGGUUGCUGGGCUGACACUGACGCUGAGGCGCG